AGAGUUUGAUCCUGGCUCAGGAUGAACGCUGGCGGCGUGCCUAACACAUGCAAGUCGAACGGGAAUCUUCGGAUUCUAGUGGCGGACGGGUGAGUAACGCGUAAGAAUCUAACUUCAGGACGGGGACAACAGUUGGAAACGACUGCUAAUACCCGAUGUGCCGAAAGGUGAAACCUAAUUGGCCUGAAGAAGAGCUUGCGUCUGAUUAGCUAGUUGGUGGGGUAAGAGCCUCCCAAGGCGACGAUCAGUAGCUGGUCUGAGAGGAUGAGCAGCCACGCUGGGACUGAGACACGGCCCAGACUCCUACGGGAGGCAGCAGUGGGGAAUUUUCCGCAAUGGGCGAAAGCCUGACGGAGCAACGCCGCGUGAGGGAGGAAGGUCUUUGGAUUGUAAACCUCUUUUCUCAAGGAAGAAGUUCUGACGGUACUUGAGGAAUCAGCCUCGGCUAACUCCGUGCCAGCAGCCGCGGUAAUACGGGGGAGGCAAGCGUUAUCCGGAAUUAUUGGGCGUAAAGCGUCCGCAGGUGGUCAGCCAAGUCUGCCGUCAAAUCAGGUUGCUUAACGACCUAAAGGCGGUGGAAACUGGCAGACUAGAGAGCAGUAGGGGUAGCAGGAAUUCCCAGUGUAGCGGUGAAAUGCGUAGAGAUUGGGAAGAACAUCGGUGGCGAAAGCGUGCUACUGGGCUGUAUCUGACACUCAGGGACGAAAGCUAGGGGAGCGAAAGGGAUUAGAUACCCCUGUAGUCCUAGCCGUAAACGAUGGAU
rnacentral:rRNA from 1 species